rnacentral:rRNA from 1 species
GAUGAACGCUGGCGGUAUGCCUAAUACAUGCAAGUCGAGCGGAAAGGCCCCUUCGGGGGUACUCGAGCGGCGGACGGCAGAGUAACGCGUAGGAACGUACCCCAAACUGAGGGAUAACUGCUCGAAAGAGUAGCUAAUACCGCAUGUGGUCUUCGGACUAAAGCCUUCGGGCGGUUUGGGAACGGCCUGCGUUCGAUUAGCUAGUUGGUGAGGUAAAUGCUCACCAAGGCGACGAUCGAUAGCUGGUCUGAGAGGAUGAUCAGCCUGACUGGAACUGAGACACGGUCCAGACUCCUACGGGAGGCAGCAGUAGGGAAUUUUCCACAAUGGGCGAAAGCCUGAUGGAGCAAUACCGCGUGCAGGAUGAAGGCCUUCGGGUCGUAAACUUCUUUUCUCAGGGACGAUUAUGACGGUACCUGAGGAAUAAGGACCUGCUAACUACGUGCCAGCCGCCGCGGUAA